GUCACCUGUGGAGGAGCCUGCGUACGAUUAGCUUGUUGGUGGGGUAAAGGCCUACCAAGGCGACGAUCGUUAGCUGGUCUGAGAGGAUGAUCAGCCACAUUGGGACUGAGACACGGCCCAAACUCCUACGGGAGGCAGCAGUGGGGAAUAUUGGACAAUGGGCGAAAGCCUGAUCCAGCAAUGCCGCGUGUGUGAAGAAGGUCUUCGGAUUGUAAAGCACUUUCGACGGGGACGAUGAUGACGGUACCCGUAGAAGAAGCCCCGGCUAACUUCGUGCCAGCAGCCGCGGUAAUACGAAGGGGGCUAGCGUUGCUCGGAAUGACUGGGCGUAAAGGGCGCGUAAGCGGAUGUCUUAAUUAGGUGUGAAAUUCCUGGGCUUAACCUGGGGACUGCACUUAAUACA
rnacentral:rRNA from 1 species